UACCAAGGGCAUAGCUGGGUAGCUACUCACGGAAAGGAUAAGCGCUGAAAGCAUCUAAGCGCGAAGCCAUCUUCAAGAUGAGGUCUAAACCUCCAGAAAGACUAUCUGGUCGAUAGGUGGUAGGUGGAAGUCCCGCGAGGGAUGGAGCCGAGCCAUACUAAUAGGUUAUUAUUCACUCUU
rnacentral:rRNA from 1 species